rnacentral:rRNA from 1 species
GACCUGCACUCUGGGACAAGCCCUGGAAACGGGGUCUAAUACCGGAUACUGAUCAUCUUGGGCAUCCUUGGUGAUCGAAAGCUCCGGCGGUGCAGGAUGAGCCCGCGGCCUAUCAGCUUGUUGGUGAGGUAACGGCUCACCAAGGCGACGACGGGUAGCCGGCCUGAGAGGGCGACCGGCCACACUGGGACUGAGACACGGCCCAGACUCCUACGGGAGGCAGCAGUGGGGAAUAUUGCACAAUGGGCGAAAGCCUGAUGCAGCGACGCCGCGUGAGGGAUGACGGCCUUCGGGUUGUAAACCUCUUUCAGCAGGGAAGAAGCGAAAGUGACGGUACCUGCAGAAGAAGCGCCGGCUAACUACGUGCCAGCAGCCGCGGUAAUACGUAGGGCGCGAGCGUUGUCCGGAAUUAUUGGGCGUAAAGAGCUCGUAGGCGGCUUGUCGCGUCGGUUGUGAAAGCCCGGGGCUUAACCCCGGGUCUGCGUCGAUACGGGCGGCUAGAUUUCGGUAGGGGAGAUCGGAAUUCCUGGUGAGCGGUGAAAUGCGCAGAUAUCAGGAGGAACACCGGUGGCGAAGGCGGAUGUCUGGGCCGAUACUGACGCUGAGGAGCGACAGCGUGGGGAGCGAACAGCACUAGAUACCCUGGUCGUCCACGCCGUAAACGGUGGCCACUAGGUGUGGGCAACAUUCCACGUUGUCCGUGCCGCAGCUAACGCAUUAAGUGCCCCGCCUGGGGAGUACGGCCGCAAGGCUAAAACUCAAAGGAAUUGACGGGGGCCCGCACUAGCGGCGGAGCAUGUGGCUUAUUCGACGCAACCGGAAGAACCUCACCAAGGCUUGACAUACACCGGAAAACCCCGGAGACAGGGUCCCCCUUGUGGUCGGUGUACAGGUGGUGCAUGGCUGUCGUCAACCAACCGUCGUGAGAUGUUGGGUUAAGUCCCGCAACGAGCGCAACCCUUGUCCCGUGUUGCCAGCAGGCCCAUGUGGUGCUGGGGACUCACGGGAGACGCCGGGGUCAACUCGGAGGAAGGUGGGGAAGAGUCAAGUCAUCAUGCCCUUAUGUCUUGGGCUGCACACAUGCUAC